AGAUACUGACAGCCAGUAUUUGAAUAGGAACCUGUUUGUUUCGGGUGAUCAGGAUUAAUUGUUAAUAUUCUCUUGGAGGGAACUGGGACAACCUCAGCUGACAAGCCUUUGAUUUGGAUGUCAUGGGUGAGUGCAACUUAAGAAAGACAUAUAUUUUCAUCGUGCUGAUGCUUUUUUUUUUUUUUAAGCCACUAGUGAAUUUAUAAGAAGCACAGGCUGUAAACCAACCAAGCAUGUCUACCAAGACUCCCAGAAUCAAAUAGGUUUGCAGGAGCAGGGUGAUAUUUGGUCACCUGUCAGGUACUCUGGGAAGACUCCUCUACCACAAAAUAAGACUAGUUGUUCAUUGUUCGUAGUGACAGUGAUGAAUAUUUUGAAAACUGAAAAUAGAUGUGUGUGUGUGUGUGUGUGUGGUGUGUGUGUGUGUGUAUCUGUGUAUUGAAAUGUCAGGAAAUAAUCUGCAUUACUACGGUGAAAUCAGUGGAUGAGUUAGUCUUUGUUUCUCUAUUUUGUAUAUAUCUCAGAAGACAUGCACGGGAUGCAACCUCUGUCCCAUCUCAUUUGUACUGAGUCCUUUUCUCUUGUCUAAACUGUCACUUGACACUUGAAACAAGCUGGAUUCCUUUGCAUAUUGAGGUAGGCUCUGUGCCUUCUUGCUAAAUGUACGGUUGAAUUAUUUCUUCUCCCCAGCUGGAACUCAUCAACAAGCUGAAAGCAUUCAUCUGGGAACACUUUACACUUCUUACGAGCAUGUCCGAGGAAGUGGGGGCUGAGACUUCACCUUGUAGAAACUCUUGCAGAAUUUUGAUUAAAAGCAGUCUCUGUUCAUAGUGAGAAAAUCUGGAUUUGAAUUCUGAUCCCACCACAUGCGAGCUCCUUGACCUUAGAUAAGUUAACCUGUGUCUCAGUUUCCACCUCUGUUAUCAGGGAUAAAAUUAGUACCUACCCCCUGGAUUGCUGUGAGGAUUUAGAUAAGAAAAUACACAUGAAUAACUUAGCACAGUGCCUGGGCAC
rnacentral:lncRNA from 10 species